AACUCACUUAUUUACAUUUUUAUUUUAUAUUUUCCUACGCCCAUAAGUGCGCGCUAUCCACGGCACGGCACGGGUCGACCCGACUUCUACACCUCUCCUCUAUCUACCUAGGUAUCUGCUGUUUUGAGCGGCGGGCUCACCAGCAAGUCCAGUUUUCAGUUUUCGUCGCGAUUGUCGUCUGGUCACUUUUCUUCCGAUCAUCCGCAUCUCGACAGCGCGAACGGUGAACGUGCGACUUUUGGUGACUUUUGUCGAGUGAAGAAAGCGAAUUGACACCAACGGGAUGAAAUAGUUUCGUUCGAUUUGAACUUUCUAUUCGUUUGUUUUGGUCAAAAGUAAUCAAAGUUCAUAAUCCUUGGUGACUAGUGUUGUGCGCGAAGUUGUUAUCAGAUGGACUAUAAUUCAAUUACAAGUCCAGGUUACGCGUGUGUGGUAUGAAGUAGAAUCUUAUGAUCCUCCCAACGACAGCUGGAAUGUGCAACCUCCGAACAACAUGUAGCAAGGGCACUUGAAUUACAUGUUAGGUGUAAUUAAAAUCAUGAUGCGAAAAAGGCGCCCCAAUCGUUCGGAGAACCCCAAAACAAACGCAUGGAAAUCAGUUUAUCUACGGUGCGGUGUGAAUGUGUUUAGGUGUGCUACAUAGCCAGAUUAAGUGAUAGUAGAAAAAGUGGCGCCCUAUUGUUGGCGAAGUAAUUCAAUUAUACGCCAAAACACCUACAUACGUGCAGUAUCGGUCGGAGCGGAAUGCAAUAAUGUGACUAACUAGUAUGGUGCGAAUAUUAUUCUUCUAGUUGAGUGAGUUUGAAGACGCCUAGGUGUGAUGAGAAUGUCGGCACCUGUUUUGGCACUGGAAAUCCGCUCGCCACUUAGCCUUUGACUGACGUCACCGGAAUGACAUUCACAAACACCCCCUCGCGAGCUGACGACGAUGCGGUCAUCUUUAAAUGGCACUCAGAAGGGGUUUUUUGAGUGGAUUAACCACAUAUGACCUUGAUUUUUAAACAAACUCAUGGCACAUAACAAUAAUACACAUUCCGCCAACCGAAGAUGAUAGCCACAUGUAAUUCAAGUGCGACCUUGCUAAUUGCUAACUAGCCAACAAGUCUGAAUCGUAUACAUUUGUAUCUAACGUUGGCGCGAUUCCAACCGACAGCUAGCUGCGUCCAGUCACUUUCACUUGGUCGGUUUCUAUCGGUUUUCAUUCCUUCUUGUUCGACUUGCAAGAAGCAGAAAUGAAACAGCACCUCGGUAAUCAGCGAACCAUCCAUUAGGCUAGAUAGCGAUCGAUUUGCCUGGCUUCGACUAGCCCGGCUCGACAUGAUCGUAACCGAUUAUGGUGGCAAAGUUGCCAACGGCAGUGGGGGUAACAGUCUGAUACAUUCCAACUCAUUCUACAUGCAAAAACAGG